AAAAAUAAAAAAAGAAAAGAAAGACAAAAUCACGACUGAGAAUUAUUCAAUAAUUCAUCCUCGAGAGCCGCGCAGACGGGGGCUGACGUAGCAAACUGCAAUAGAGACGUGUCUAUUUUUAUGGCUGAUUAUAUAUACGGGAAACUAAAUAGUGGCGCAGGUCCAGCAGCACAGGUCUCCAACAAUAAGCGUGAUCUUGCUAGAAGGAUAUAGCCAACGAUCAUGCCAAAGAGCGCGAGCGCGUGUCCGGCGAACGAGAACGAGAGAGCGUGAUUGUAUACGCCUGAAAGAUAACGAUACGCGUGAAGAGAAAGAGAGAGAGAGUGAGGGAGAGAAUGAGAAAAAGAGAAAAAGAGAGAUACUUAAUUCAAAUCAUAUCGUGUACGUGUACCUUGUUUCCGCGCGUCGAAAAAGACCGCGUCCAAAUGGCAGGACUUGCAACAAGUACAAUCGAGCGAGUGAAAUAACGAGAUUAACGUCGUACAUUAUUUUGCUACGAGUCACGUUUGUUUCCUCUAGCGGG